UGCUCCAUGUGAACGGCGAGCUGGAACCACAGACCAGGGGACGGGGUGAGACCUACAGGCUGAGACCUACACAAGACCUACAGGCUGAGACCUACAGGUUCAGACCUACAGGCUGAGACCUACAGGCUGAGACCUACGGACAGAGACCUACAGAUUCAGACGUACACCAGCCCUACAUUAAUGAGUCUUUGCAUAAAGGCACCUGAAGGACUAAAUAGUGGAUGGAACCCCUGAGAUGUUCAGGAGCCCAACAGUCAUCCAGAUCUUUACCUGUACAGCAUCAGGCCCAUAGUUGUAGAUGACUGCCACAAUGCUCAUUUGUUCAUAUCUCCUGACCGAAUAGGGCAGUCUCAGAGACACGAAGAUGUUCUUAAAGGUCUUCAGCUCGAUUGGCUCAACCACACAGAAUCCUGCAUGGGACACCAAGACAAAAGCUCAUUCUCGACACACUGGCUUAUAUUAGAAAUGGUAACUGGAAGGUAAGAAGGUCAGUGUUACCGUGAGUUGGAGAUAGAGUGACUGCCUGAAUUUCCCAAGUGGUAAUAGAAUCCGGUAGAGAUAAAGUGUGUCUAAAAAGGUUUGCAUUUGUUAAUAUUCCUUUUGUAAUAUUCCUAUAUUUUUUUUAAAAAAAAUAUAAAA